CACUGUCGUUAGAAGGGGGUGUAUUUACGUAUUUAGGAAUUGGAAUAAUAUUAUUUGUAACUUUACAUAUUUAUUUUUGAUCUACUGGUAAUUUUACAGCAACUGGAGAGUCACCGUUGUGCCUAAGUGUUAGCGUUAUCUGGGCCCUCAAGAAUGCGAUCAAAUCUGCAAGAAAAGAUGCUGGAAACACGGAUUGGUAUCAGAUCAGUGAGUACAUAGUCAUGCGAUUCUUUUUUGCUAAGAAAAUUUUCUACUUUUUCUCUAAACAAAUACGAAAUUGCCGGAAUUGGGCAAUGUUAAUUAUCGAUUUCUGUACUUUUUGUUAAGGUGGGCCCCUAACGCCGGAAGAUAUUCAACAGCUUGCUUUCACGGAUAAGAAACAAUUUGACAUUUAGUUUGCUGAGAUUGCAAUAAACUGAGCAUUUACUUUUUAUUAUUUUGGGUUCUGUAAAUAAAUAACGUAACACUUUUA